CAGUAGCCACGGUAAAACAGAGGGUGCGAGCGUUAAUCGGAUUUACUGGGCGUAAAGCGUGCGUAGGCGGCUUCUUAAGUCGGAUGUGAAAUCCCUGAGCUUAACUUAGGAAUUGCAUUCGAUACUGGGAAGCUAGAGUAUGGGAGAGGAUGGUAGAAUUCCAGGUGUAGCGGUGAAAUGCGUAGAGAUCUGGAGGAAUACCGAUGGCGAAGGCAGCCAUCUGGCCUAAUACUGACGCUGAGGUACGAAAGCAUGGGGAGCAAACAGGAUUAGAUACCCCCGUAGUCCCUGUCUCUUAUAC
rnacentral:rRNA from 1 species